GUGGAAGGUGAAGAAGACAGAAGAAAGAUCAUUGAGAGCAUCCAUGGGCAAGCUCAUCUAUAGGAAGAGACAAAACACUUUCUCAGCUAACUCAACGAUACUACUGGCCAAACAUGUACAAGACAGCAUGUGCCUACAUUGCUUCAUGUGACCACUGCCAGCGCCAAAACCAUAAGUUGCAUAAAACUAAUGCAACACUUCAUCCCAUUCCUGUUAAAGAAGAAGCCUGGUAUCAGGUUGGAAUGGAUUUAGUGGGUCCUCUGCCUGUAACUCCAGCAGGAAACAAGUUCUUGAUGACAAUUACAGAUUAUCUACUACACAAAGUGGGCUGUAGCUGCUGCUCUAAAAGACAAAACUGCAUUGUCAGUAGCCAACGUCUUAUACUCGGUAUUUUGCACAUACGGCUGCCCUACUGUUUUCCUCAGUGACCAAGGAAGAGAAUUUGUCAAUAAAGUUACUGAGGCACUCUUUAAAAGAACAAACACACAGCAUAGAAUCACUUCCGCCUAUCAUCCUCAAACUAAUGGCCUCACGGAGCGAUUUAAUCAGACAAUCUGUCGUUCUCUCAGCAAGUUAGUGAAUGAAGCACACAAUGAUUGGGAUACAAAGCUAGAAACUAUUCUGUUUGCAUACCGAGUGUCGAAACACCGAUCAACCGGCUAUUCGCCAUGCAUUCUUCAUGAUGUUUCGUCGUGAAGCUCGGCUGCCUAUAGAUUGAAGCAGAUGUAGAGCAAAACGAAACAGACACUGUUGUGACCAGUGAAGAUAUAGAUACAGAGACAAUUGCAGAUGCUUUUAUUGAGAAAAUGCUCAAGAGGCAAGAAGAUAUAAAGAGCAUAGCUGGUGAAAACAUAAAAAAAUCUCAAAAAAAGCAAAAGGAGUGCUAUGAUAAACGGCAUUCACCGGAGGAACUGCAACUUGGAAUCAAGGUUUUGGUUGAGAACACCCAACAAAAGGAGAGGAAAGGUGGAAAGCUCGAAAACAAGUAUAGUGGACCAUACAUUAUUAAGACCUCAGAUGGAAAGGGUGUCUAUACCCUUAAGGACUUGGAUGGGAAGGUGUUAAAAAAGAAAUGUAAUAUCAAACGUCUCAAGGUUUAUAUAGAUCCUUCUUCAUUGGUUGAACAAAAAGCUCUCAGUGGCCAAACUCCACCGGAUAAAUCCAAUGGCUCUACCCAUGCAACCAGAGAAAUCCAAUGGCCCCACCCCACCAGAAGAUCCAAAUGGCCCCACCCCACCAGAGAAAUCCGAUGGUUCCACCCCACCAGAAUAUCAAAAUGGCCCCACCACAUUGGAUGAUCCCAAUGUCCCUACUUCACCGGACGGGCUCAAUGACCAAAUGGAGGAUCUCAAUGGACCCACACUCCUGGAUAAUACGCCUGGCCUCUCUUCAGAAUACGUUUCCAGUGGGUUUGAUGAUCCUAUUCUGAUGGAAUGUCUGUUUGAUCCAAGCCUUUUGAGACUGUAUAUACAGAACAGGAGCUUCUACACAUCUGUACAGAAGUGAGGAGGAUGAUGAUUUUGAUUUAUCGUACCUCUUUCAAAACAAGCACGAGUAUGGCUUGAGCAAAGAUACUGAUGUGGCACUGUGGCUAGCUUACAAAGCAUACACCCAUCAACCAGACUUAGUUGAAGCGUUUGACUUCGUGGUCGUCAAUUCACUCCU